UAUUAUUAUUAUUAUUAUUAUUACUAUUAUUAUUACAACUAUUAUUUAAAUUAUCUUAACAAACGAAGACCAAAAUAAACAAGAAAGUCUCUGCGAAAAAAUAAAUAAAAAAAGAAAGAAAGAAAAUAACCAAACGAAAACAAAACAGAACAAAAAAAAAUACGGGACCAAACCAACAGCGGGGAGGAAGAGAAUAAGAAGAGAAAAGCAACCGAAGAAUGAAUGGAAGCUGAUCUUACACGAGCAAAACAUUAUAGACAGCUUGAGUGAUUCCUACAUCGGAACUGGAAGAACCAUUACAACCGAGCCGAGAAUAGACAGAUAUCACAACAAAAGACGGUGGAAAAAUGUGCCAGCGAGAUGAGGGAUAAACUAUAUGAAUGCAUAUAAAUAUAUAUAUAUAUGUAUGUAGAUAGAUAGAUGUAUAUAUAUAUUUAUAUAUAAACGGUUACGUGCAAUCUUUUAUAUAUAUAUAUAUAUAUAUAUAUAUACAUAUAUAUACUAGAUGCAUCACAACAAUGCCAGCCAGCUCUGUGAAGGCAAUCAUCUAUUUAUGGUAGGUUACUCUAAUUUAUAAUAAUGAUGGUGAUGAUGAUGAUGAGGUUGAUGGUGAGGAUGAUGAUGAUGAUGCUGAUGAUGAGGCUGAUAACGACGUAUUUGUCAUUAUAGAACACAAGAUAAGAUUUUGUAAAGUAAGACCAUAAAAUAACGCUUUUAGUAGGGUGACUCGAGUGGAGUGUUUUCACGGACUCUGAGGGUCCGGCACUUUACUGAAACGCUUCACAACAGUAUGUUUAUUUCAGUGCAAAAAUGUUUGUAUGUACAUAUGUAUGUCUCUAAGUAUAUAUAUAUGUAUAUAUGUAUAUAUAUAUACGUAUGUGUUUAUGUAUGUAAUUAUAUGCACAUAUGCAUGUAUGUAUAUAGGUAGGUUUAUAGGUUAUGUAUUUAUGUUUGACUGGAUGUAACUUUAUGAUACAAACAUUUCAGAAUGUAGAUAAUUUCAAUAUAUAUAUAUAUAUAUAUAUAUAACUAUGUUUACAUGUAUGCAUAUAUGUCACUUUUUGUGUAUAUAUAUUUAGGAAUAUUUUGUAUGUAUGUAUGUAAUGACUAUGUAUAUACCCACGUAUGCAUGUAACUAUAUUUAUAUACAAACAUUUCUGCUUGUAUAUUGGUAAUGUAUAUUGGCAUACAAGUAUCUAUCUAUUUAUCUAUCUAUCUAUGAAAGAAGUGUGUAUAUAUAUAUAUAUAUAUAUAUGUGAUAUAUGUGUGUGUGUGUAUGUAUUUUAAAUGUAUGUAUAUAUAAAUGCAUGUGUGUAUGUAUGUAUGUAUAACAAUAUACCUAUGUGUUUACAGUGAUAUUUAUGUAUAUAUUUAUUUACGAAAUACAAAAUUGUGUAUAUAGUUAUACAUGCAAGUAGGUUAUUAUGUAUAUAGAUGUAUGUUACGUACAUGAAAUUAUAUAUAUGUAUUUGUAUAUGUAUUUAUGUAUAUGGAUAUGUGUAUGUGUGUCUGUGUGUAUAUAUAUAUGUAUUAUAUAUAUAUAUGCAUAGAUACAUAUAUACAUGCAUACAUACAUACAUGCAGACAUACACACAAACCCCAGUUACAUAUGUAGGUAAAUAUGUUUGUGUAUAUGUAUGUCGAUUUAUAGAUACAGAUAUUUGCAUUUAUAUGCUUAUAAACACGUACGUAUAUACGCAUAUACACGUAGAUAUACAUGUGUAUGUAUGUAUAUAUGUAUGUAUGUAUGUGUGUGUAUGUAUGUAUACAGAUAAACAGACAGACAGAUAGAUGGAUAGGUAGAUGGAUAGAGAGAGAUAGAUAGAUAGAUAGAUAGAUAGAUAGAUAGAUAGAUAGAUAGAUAGAUAGAUAGAUAGAUAGAUAGAUAGAUAUAGAUCAGCCUAUUGAUUUUUGGUGAGUGCUUUGAUCAGAGGCGAAACAACAGUCACAACCGUCCCAUCGUUCAUUUCUUCUAGCUACCUACAUAAAACAGAUACAUCACUGGACACCGUGCUUAUCUUUUGUUCAAGACGAUUGCCUACAGCUGCUAUUUCUAGUAGUCGAGCGCCUGGACGGGGACUCACAUGUUGGAUCGUCUAUAGUCUUGUUUGCACGCGUACAGUCGUAUUUGCAUGCAGGCAUACAUUUAUAUAAGCAUGUCUCUUUGUGUGUAUUACUGUAUUGCUGUAUCAUUGUAUCUCUGGAUAGCAAUGUGUUGGAACGUACGGUAUACGACCGUAAAAUAGAUAUUCAGUGUUUGUUAUCUUCGAAUGGUUUAUUUCACAAAAUUUUAUACACCAUGAACAUGCUUACGUUUGUCUUUGUAUAUAACAAUACCUACAUGUUAACACCCAACAUAUUAACACAUACUCACACACACAUAUACACACACAUACACUCACAUGUCAGUAUAUAUUUAUCACACACAAAAACGCAUAGGCGUAAGUGAGAUACGUUGUAAUUAAUAUUAACGGGUGUAUAUAUGACAACUAACUAUGAC
rnacentral:lncRNA from 1 species